rnacentral:rRNA from 1 species
ACGGAAGGCAGCAGUGGGGAAUAUUGGGCAAUGGGCGAAAGCCUGACCCAGCGACGCCGCGUGAGGGAAGAAGGUCUUCGGAUUGUAAACCUCUGUUGACAGGGAAGAAGAAAGUGACGGUACCUGUCGAGGAAGCCACGGCUAACUACGUGCCAGCAGCCGCGGUAAUACGUAGGUGGCGAGCGUUAUCCGGAAUUACUGGGUGUAAAGGGUGUGUAGGCGGGACUGCAAGUCAGAUGUGAAAACUACGAGCUUAACUCGUAGCCUGCAUUUGAGACUGUGGUUCUUGAGUGUUGGAGGGGUAAAUGGAAUUCCCAGUGUAGCGGUGAAAUGCGUAGAUAUUGGGAGGAACAUCAGUGGCGAAGGCGAUUUACUGGACAACAACUGACGCUGAGACACGAAAGCGUGGGGAGCAAACAGGAUUAGAUACCCUGGUA